UAGGGUGGUAUAUUCUCUUUAAGUAUUUGGUGUGAUAUUCUCUUUAAGUAUUUUAUCCAGUUCUAUUGUCCUGUAUAUCCAGUAAGUUUUGUUUUUCCAGUUGGUAUAAUUAGUUUAGUUUAUAGUUUAAACAUGUUAUUUUAACAUGGUGAGUAGUAUUCUGUUACUUAGAUACUGUCCUAACAUCAUGUUUCACCUUUAGUCACUUUUUCUUAGAUCUCCAUCUUGAAGGCAACAAUUUCUUUCUACAGCACUGCAUUUACUAAUUCGGUGUUUCUCUCUUUUGUACCUGUAUAUGGUUUCCUUAUACAUUAUUAGUUCUAAUUCUUCAUUUCUUAAGAGCACCUUUAUCAGGUGCUCUUCUUCUUGUCUUCUACUUGUUCUUCUUUCUGUAAAUAAUUGGCUGUUUUGUUCCUGUGUAUUGUAAAUAAACUGUAUAGCUGUGUUCCUGUCUUUGUCUCUUUUCGUUCAACCCGCGACCUGGAAAGGGGAUAGUCCGUUGUCCAUCGAUCCUGCUACAUAAAUUUCACAUUUUUCGACACUAAUCAAUUUCUCAAAACAUAAACAUUAUCACUGCGCUUGCGUAAGUUGGGUCACUCGUAUAUCAUGUAGGGGUAUAAGGUAUUCCACAAAUCGGGUGCAUUCGGUUAAUAAUGCUUAGCGCGGGAGGAUUCGCAGGUUUGUUUUGCGGCAGUGCGAGUGUAUGUGUGUGUGCGUGUGAUUGUGUGCGUAUUUGUGUGUGUU